GGAUCUUCCCCGCCCAGGGACUGAACCGGGGUCUCCUGCGUUGCAGGCAGCUUCUUAACCAGCUGAGCCACCCGGGUGCUACUCCUCGAUCACCUCAGCGAGUCCCAGCACCCGCCUGCAAGGUACUCGGGAUGUCCCUGUGACAAACUGCAGUAACCGGAUGCGCUUCUCGGCGUCCAUCAGCAGCACAGCCUGCAGACGGAGACAGAGGUCACCAUGCGCCACUGGACACGCAACGCAGACCGGCAAACCGUCAUCCCGCGUGCACUGCGGUGGAAGUCCUAGACGGUCUUACACCCGGACAGGACCUGCUAUCUCACUUCUCUCCUAAAAUGAACAGGAUACAAACACUGGCCUUUAGAGAGUGAAUCAGAUUUCAUUUGCAUCUCUGAUUGAAAGAUGUAAAGAUCAAAAUGGUUGUUGUAAUUCACAAAAAAAAUUGAGAAAAUGGUUUUUUAAACCAAAAUGGCAUCUUGGAAAAGCCAGCCCCAAAGCGUGUAUUUGUCCUGAGAAGCCUUUCAUUCUUAUUCACACUCUGGAGGACUCGUUCAAAUUCUUGAAUCCAGCUAUCUGCUUUUUAGGGUCAUCCUACUCAACGGUUUCCUUAAACAAAAGCACUUGAGUAAGUGACCGAGGAAGACAGUGUGGCUUACUCAGGACAAGUGAGGGCAGGCGCCCACCACGGUCACAGAGAAGCAGCGGGAAGGGCUCCGUCGGGCUCAGCAGGCCUCUCCCCUCCCCAGCAGGCCACGGACCAGAAGGGCCCCAAACCCAGCAGCGGACCUUGGAAGGCAGUACAGGCCCUGGGCCCCAGACCUACCUUCCA